UGUCAGCAGCCAAGGGAGAAGGAGCUCUCAGGGAGGAAGCUAAGUGGAAAUGUUUGACUGCCUGUUCUACUUCUGCUGGCAUGGGCAGUGGCAGCCAUGGACGUGGUUCCAAACUGGGCACGUCUACUGCACCUGAUGUCAGUCAAGCAUGUACCCCUGAACCUCGACCCCUAGCUCGCACACCAAUGGAGCUCUCAAGGGACAUGUGCUGUAGGCAGCAACACUCCCAAGAAAACUCACUGGAGGCUUUGGCAGAGUUGUCACGAGCCACAGUGUCAGGCACAGAAGCCUGGUGGGACGAACUCUGGGACUCAAUCCAUUCUGAUUGUGCCUUCCAUGAGGAAGCGCUAGAUCAUGUGCAGUGGUUGGUAGACAUGGCCAUGGAGUCCCGUGUGGAUUACCAGAGGUCACAGGACUUGAUAAAUGAUGUCCUGCAGUGCUUGCCAAACUGCCUCUUUAAAAAAUGGGUACCACCCCAGAAAGGGAAAAGUAGCUCUGCUCAGCUUGCCUCUGUCCAGGAGGUAGCCAGGAGCAUUAGAGCUGAGCUCAAAUGCAGUGCAGUCAGGGGAGGGGUGUACAACCACCCCCAGGGUCAGGUGGCCAUCCCUGAGGUUCAGGGAGCCAGGGCCGGUUCAGGGUAAUGGUGGGGUGAAGGCAAAGAAGCCAAAGUAACCAACUGCUUACAAUAUUGUGUUCCUUACAAUAAAACCUCACGUUAUCCUGGCUUUCUGCAUCUGGCUCCAUAUCUUUGAAGGGAUGG